GAUGAACGCUGGCGGCGUGCCUAAUACAUGCAAGUCGAGCGAACAGAUAAGGAGCUUGCUCCUUUGACGUUAGCGGCGGACGGGUGAGUAACACGUGGGUAACCUACCUAUAAGACUGGGAUAACUUCGGGAAACCGGAGCUAAUACCGGAUAACAUUUGGCACCGCAUGGUUCUAUAGUGAAAGAUGGUUUUGCUAUCACUUAUAGAUGGACCCGCGCCGUAUUAGAUAGUUGGUAAGGUAACGGCUUCCCAAGGCGACGAUACGUAGCCGACCUGAGAGGGUGAUCGGCCACACUAGAUCUGAGACACGGUCCAGACCCCUACGGGACGCAGCGGUGGGGAAUCUUCCGCUAGGGGCGAAAGCCGGACGGGGCAACGCCGCGUGAGUGAUGGAGGGUUUCGGCUCGUAAAACUCUGUUAUUAGGGAAGAACAAAUGUGUAAGUAACUGUGCACGUCUUGACGGUACCUAAUCAGAAAGCCACGGCUAACUACGUG
rnacentral:rRNA from 1 species